GACGAACGCUGGCGGCGUGCCUAAUACAUGCAAGUUGAGCGGUGAAGCAUUGUACUUGUGCCAACUGGAUGAGCAGCGAACGGGUGAGUAACGCGUGGGGCAUCUGCUUUUGAUCGGGGGACAACAACGGAGAACGAAUGCUACUACCACAUAAAAACAUUAAACACAAGUAGCAAGUUUGAAAGAUGCAAUGGCAUCACUCAUGGGCGAUCGCGCGUUGUAUUAGGUAGUUGGUGAGGUAAAGGCUCACCAAGGCGAUGAUACAUAGCCGACCUGAGAGGGUGGUCGGCCACCAUUGGACUGAGACACGGCCCAAACUCCUACGGGAGGGAGCCAUAGGGAAUCUUCGGAAAUGGGGGAAAGUCUGACCGCACAACGCCGCGUGAGUUGAGAAGGGUUUCGGAUCGUAAAAGUCUGUUUGUAGAGAAGAACGUGCGUGAGGUUGGAAAGCUGAUCAAGUGACGGUAACUACAGAAAAAGGAACGGCUAACUACGUG
rnacentral:rRNA from 1 species